AUUGGAUGUUGGACUUCUGUUGGACAACCUUUGGUUUUUGGACUCUGUCAUCAGCCACUCAGUUUAUAGAAAAGCUGCACUGACCUUCUACACUAAAGUGAAAGCAGGAAACCACUGACGGGAAACUGCAACACCAGUACUGUAAAAAUCAUAAUUUAUGCACUAGACAGACAGUUAUGUGCUUUUAGAGGAAACAGAAACUCUCAGUUUUAUUGUGUAAAACUGUGUAAUACAGUUCGACAGUUAGAGGGCAAGAAAAAAUGUCCAGACUGUUAUCCAUCAGUUCUUCUUGUAGGAUAUUAUAUAUGCAUACCUGUGUAUUCUUCUUUUGUUAAUUAAGUGUAAAGUUACAAAAUUACAUCAGUUGUUAACUGUUACAGAAACAAAUGUUUAAAUGGCUUGAACUCAUUAAAUCAUGUGAUAACUUCA